UACGGAGGAUGCGAGCGUUAUCCGGAUUUAUUGGGUUUAAAGGGUGCGUAGGCGGUUUAUUAAGUUAGUGGUUAAAUAUUUGAGCUAAACUCAAUUGUGCCAUUAAUACUGGUAAACUGGAGUACAGACGAGGUAGGCGGAAUAAGUUAAGUAGCGGUGAAAUGCAUAGAUAUAACUUAGAACUCCGAUAGCGAAGGCAGCUUACCAGACUGUAACUGACGCUGAUGCACGAGAGCGUGGGUAGCGAACAGGAUUAGAUACCCUGGUAGUCCACGCCGUAAACGAUGCUCACUGGUUCUGUGCGAUAUAUUGUACGGGAUUAAGCGAAAGUAUUAAGUGAGCCACCUGGGGAGUACGUCGGCAACGAUGAAACUCAAAGGAAUUGACGGGGGCCCGCACAAGCGGAGGAACAUGUGGUUUAAUUCGAUGAUACGCGAGGAACCUUACCCGGGCUUGAAAGUUAGCGACGAUUCUUGAAAGAGGAUUUCCCUUCGGGGCGCGAAACUAGGUGCUGCAUGGUUGUCGUCAGCUCGUGCCGUGAGGUGUCGGGUUAAGUCCCAUAACGAGCGCAACCCUUACCGUUAGUUGCUAGCAUGUAAUGAUGAGCACUCUAACGGGACUGCCACCGUAAGGUGAGAGGAAGGCGGGGAUGACGUCAAAUCAGCACGGCCCUUACACCCAGGGCUACACACGUGUUACAAUGGCCGGUACAGAGGGCCGCUACCAGGUGACUGGAUGCCAAUCUCAAAAGCCGGUCGUAGUUCGGAUUGGAGUCUGUAACCCGACUCCAUGAAGUUGGAUUCGCUAGUAAUCGCGCAUCAGCCAUGGCGCGGUGAAUACGUUCCCGGGCC
rnacentral:rRNA from 1 species